rnacentral:rRNA from 1 species
GAUGAACGCUGACAGAAUGCUUAACACAUGCAAGUCUUUGGCGAAUCUGUGCUUGCACAGGCUAGCCAAGGCGGACGGGUGAGUAACGCGUAAAGAACUUGCCCUGCAGACAGGGAUAACAGAAGGAAACGACUGAUAACACAAGAUACAGUUGUCGGCACGCAUGUGCCUGGCAAUGAAAAGAGAUGCUGCAGGAGAGAUUUGCGUCCUAUUAGCUUGUUGGUGAGGUGACGGCUCACCAAGGCGAUGAUAGGUGGCCGGCCUGAGAGGGUGAACGGCCACAAGGGGACUGAGAUGCAGCCCUUGCGCCUACGGGAGGCAGCAGUAGAGAAUAAUGGACAAUGGGGGCGACCCUGAUCCAGCAAUUCUGUGUGCACAAAGAAGGUUUUCGGAUAGAAAAGUUCUUUCAGCAGGUAAGAAGAAAGUGACGGUACCUGCAGAAGAAGCGACGGCUAAAUACGUG